rnacentral:lncRNA from 1 species
GCCUUCUUAUUGUCGUGGUCGUAAAUGUUUUUUAUAUACAUAUCGUACAGUGGUGUUUAAGACAAGAAGGGGGGAACAACCUAUGUGCAUAUUACGUGUGCAAAUUCAUGAUGGCACAAGUCAAUCAAACACCCACAGAGACGCUCAGAGUACGUUACAUGUCUCUUUUCAUUAUCUCCUGAAUUAUAUUGAAUAACUUAGAUAACUAAUACCUUUUUUAUUUAUUUCAAAUUAAUGACGGAAUGG